rnacentral:rRNA from 1 species
AUGAACGCUGGCGGCGUGCCUAAUACAUGCAAGUCGAGCGAACAGACGAGGAGCUUGCUCCUCUGACGUUAGCGGCGGACGGGUGAGUAACACGUGGAUAACCUACCUAUAAGACUGGGAUAACUUCGGGAAACCGGAGCUAAUACCGGAUAAUAUAUUGAACCGCAUGGUUCAAUAGUGAAAGACGGUUUUGCUGUCACUUAUAGAUGGAUCCGCGCCGCAUUAGCUAGUUGGUAAGGUAACGGCUUACCAAGGCAACGCUGCGUAGCCGACCUGAGAGGGUGAUCGGCCACACUGGAACUGAGACACGGUCCAGACUCCUACGGGAGGCAGCAGUAGGGAAUCUUCCGCAAUGGGCGAAAGCUUGACGGAGCAACGCCGCGUGAGUGAUGAAGGUCUUCGGAUCGUAAAACUCUGUUAUUAGGGAAGAACAAAUGUGUAAGUAACUAUGCACGUCUUGACGGUACCUAAUCAGAAAGCCACGGCUAACUACGUG